rnacentral:rRNA from 1 species
CAGCAGCCGCGGUAAUACCAGCCCCGCGAGUGGUCGGGACGGUUAUUGGGCCUAAAGCGCCCGUAGCCGGCCCGGCAAGUCCCUCCUUAAAGCCUCGGGCCUAACCCGAGGACGGGGGGGAUACUGCCGGGCUAGGGGGCGGGAGCGGCCGGCGGUACUCCCGGGGUAGGGGCGAAAUCCGUUAAUCCCGGGAGGACCACCAGUGGCGAAGGCGGCCGGCGGGAACGCGCCCGACGGUGAGGGGCGAAAGCCGGGGGAGCGAACCGGAUUAGAUGCCCGGGUAGUCCCGGCGGUAAACGAUGCGGGCUAGCUGUUGGGCGGGCUUAGAGCCCGCCCAGUGGCGCAGGGAAGCCGUUAAGUCCGCCGCCUGGGGAGUACGGCCGCAAGGCUGAAACUUAAAGGAAUUGGCGGG